GAUGAACGCUGGCGGCGUGCCUAAUACAUGCAAGUCGAGCGAAAAGACGAUGAGCUUUUUCUCCUGACGUUAGCGGCGGGCGGGUGAGUAACACGUGCAUAACCUACUUCUAAGACUGGGAUAAUUUCGGGAAACCGCAGCUACUACUAGCUAAUAUAUUCAACGGCAUGGUUCAAUAGUGAUAGACGCUUUUGCUGUUACUUUUAGCUGAUUUCGGGUCGGAUUGGUUAGUUGGUAAGGUAACGGCUUACCAAGGCUACGAUGCGUAGCCGACCUGAGAGGGUGAUCAGCCACACUGGAACUGAGACACGGUCCAGACUCCUACGGGAGGCAGCAGUAGGGAAUCUUCCGCAAAGGGCGAAAGCUUGACCGAGCAAUACCGCGUGAGUGAUGAAGGUCUUCGGAUCGUAAAGCUCUUUUGUUAGGAAAGAACAAAAGCGUAAGUAACCAUGCACGUCUUGACGGUACCUAAACAAUAAGCAACGGCUAACUACGUG
rnacentral:rRNA from 1 species